UACGAAGGGGGCUAGCGUUGCUCGGAAUCACUGGGCGUAAAGCGCACGUAGGCGGAUUGUUAAGUCAGGGUUGAAAUCCUGGAGCUCAACUCCAGAACUGCCUUUGAUACUGGCGAUCUCGAGUCCGGGAGAGGUGAGUGGAACUGCGAGUGUAGAGGUGAAAUUCGUAGAUAUUCGCAAGAACACCAGUGGCGAAGGCGGCUCACUGGCCCGGUACUGACGCUGAGGUGCGAAAGCGUGGGGAGCAAACAGG
rnacentral:rRNA from 1 species